rnacentral:misc_RNA from 1 species
GAUGAAGAACGUAGCGAAAUGCGAUACUUGGUGUGAAUUGCAGAAUCCCGUGAACCAUCGAGUCUUUGAACGCAAGUUGCGCCCGAAGCCACUAGGCCGAGGGCACGCCUGCCUGGGCGUCACACGCCGUUGCCCCCCCAUCUACUCCUUCGGGAUUGCGGGGGGGCGGAUGAUGGCCUCCCGUGCGCCUAGCCGCGCGGUUGGCAUAAAUACCAAGUCCUCGGCGACGCACGCCACGACAAUCGGUGGUUGCGAAACCUCGGUUGCCCGUCGUGUGCGUUCGUCGCGCAUCGAGGGCUCGAAAAAAUGCUCGGCUCCGGCUAGGCUUUCAACGCGACCCCAGGUCAGGCGGGGUUACCCGCUGAAUUUAAGCAUAUCAAUAAGCGGAGGA